rnacentral:rRNA from 1 species
AGCGAACGCUGGCGGCAGGCCUAACACAUGCAAGUCGAACGAAGUCUUCGGGCUUAGUGGCGGACGGGUGAGUAACACGUGGGAACGUGCCUUUAGGUUCGGAAUAACUCAGGGAAACUUGUUCUAAUACCGAAUGUGCCCUUCGGGGGAAAGAUUUAUCGCCUUUAGAGCGGCCCGCGUCUGAUUAGCUAGUUGGUGAGGUAAAGGCUCACCAAGGCUACGAUCAGUAGCUGGUCUGAGAGGAUGACCAGCCACAUUGGGACUGAGACACGGCCCAAACUCCUACGGGAGGCAGCAGUGGGGAAUCUUGCGCAAUGGGCGAAAGCCUGACGCAGCCAUGCCGCGUGGAUGAUGAAGGUCUUAGGAUUGUAAAAUCCUUUCACCGGUGAAGAUAAUGACUGUAGCCGGAGAAGAAGCCCCGGCUAACUUCGUGCCAGCAGCCGCCGUAACAC